GCUGGAGCACCUCUCCUACAAAGGGGGGGCUGAGGCAGUUGGGCUUGUUCAGCUUGGAGAAGGCUCCAGGGAGACCUCACUGCAGCUUUCCAGUUCUUGAAGGGAGCUUACAAGCAGGGGGUGGGCAGACUUUUUAGACAGUCUGAUAGCGAAAGGACAAGGGGGAAUGGCUUUAAACUAAAUGAGGGAAAAUUUAGGUUAGAUGUUAGGAUGAAAUUGUUUAGAGGGUAGUGAAGCACUGGAACAGGUUGCACAGUAGCCAUGGACAUCCCAUCCCUGGACACAUUCAGGGGCAGGCUGGAUGGAGCCCUGGGCAACCUGAUAUGGUGGGAGGCAACCCUGUUCACAGCAGAGGGGUUGGAACUAGAUGAUCUUUAAAAGUCCCUUCCAAACUAAGCCACUCUGUGACUACAGGGGCUCCUGGUUGUCCCUCCAGCAGUAUCUAUGCUAUUAAGGGCCAUACAGUUUUUCACAGUCAAACAGACUUCUUACACACAAUCCUUUUUCUAUACCUAAAAGCAACCUCUGAAGAUUACAUAGAGGCAGUAAAACACCCCCCAUGACUUACUGAAGAACCAUUUCUAGGCUCUUCCUUAACCCUUUUAAUCCAUUCUCUACUGGAUAGAUGGUGAUUAGGGUUUACUAGCAAGCACUCAGUUGUGAUAAAAUCUGAAAGUAUUAGGCUACAUUAAGUCAAUAGGAGGUUACAACUGUAUUUAUAGUUCAAAUGUUUUACCACUAUCCACAGUACCUCAGCACCUAAUACUGUUUACCUAAGAAGUAAACACAGCAGAUGAAAACAGAGGUCUACUGCUUCUUCAACUCUGUCCUUUUAACACACACAUUGAAAUGCCAUGGCCACCGAACAAGACUUUAGCCAACUAGAAACAAACUAGGGAAGCAAGUCAGACAAGCAGAAGACAGAGGGUUAAAGCUCAGGCUGACUUUCUAAUCUGGCACUCCUCCUGUUCACGUCCUGCCUGCACCAGAAGGCUCUCCUUGUGGCUGCAGUGAUGGAGCUGGCUAUUGAACUGACCUACAAGAACACAACUUGAUUGAAAUGCACUAUUUCAGCAGAAGAUACACCACUAAAGCAAGAAAGCAGAACCACCUUGAAGUGAUCUGCACACAAAACACAGCAGGCUCUAAAAAUAAGCCAGUAAUUCACAGAUUAACAAACACAUCAGCCAUCAGGUAACUCAUGUCCUCGCGUAUCGGCAACUGCUGGAUUGCAUAUAUUCUGCAGGCACGCUGAACACUGACAGUUCUGUGACCUCAGUAUUAACCAUUUUGUCUCCAUUUCAUCAGCUUUACAGGGAGACUGUACUUCUUCCUCUGAAGAAAUUCCUGUGUUUAUUUAGAAUAAUGCAAUGACCAAAAGUACCUACAUUGCUCUCUCCAAUUCAAUUCCCCAGCUAAUGGGAAAGUUAUUGACACUAAACCUUAGAUGCUACGUAAUUACUCUGCUUCUGCAUUUCUCCGGAACAACCACUUCACAUUCAAGACUUCUGGUAAAUGCUAAGGCAAAAAAAAAAGCCAGCAUUACACAACUUAAAACACGGAAAAAGCACUAGGACCCCAAACAAGGUGAAGAAGCUAUCAAACCUGACCCUAUGACAUUUUUACGUUGCUUGUUUUUCUUGGCUUUCACUAGAAGUCAGAAGAUUAUUACACAAGAUCCACAUAAUUCUCUGCUGCUGCUUGGACUUCAAGCAUUUCCACUGGAAUACAGACUAAUACAUACGGCUCAUCAGCAUUGUUUCAUGUUAAAAAAAAGAAAACAGAAUAAAGUUAAGUUCAGUCUCUA